UUGGUGACAGCUCACAUGGGCUGUGAUCGUCUGACGCAACCACCUGUUAAUUACAAUGUGCAUUACAAGGUUACCACUGAGACUGAUUGCACAAAGUCCACCAAAGAAACCCAACUGUUAGCUGUCAUGGCAGGCUGAAAUCCACUCCCGAAAGGACCCCGUCAGCUCCACAAUGCCCCGGGGGAUGCGAAGGACAUCCAGAACACUGGCAAAAGCAUCAACACCAUUGAAAACCCAGUCAGCUAGCCUCAGCUGUGGAGAACCUGAAGAAUAUCUUCUCACUGCCUGAGAUGGUGGCAAACACUCCGUUAAUGACAAAGUAUGAUGAACUGCUGGAGGUUCAGCACAAGCUGGUGAACCUGGAGUGCUCAUGGAAUGACCUCAUGUACGAUCACUACCGCAUGGGCAGCAAGAACCCGCACAACAUUAACCUAGUUUGAAACUACUUUGGCAAGGUGUAGGGCCUGUCGGACAACCAGGCCAAGCAACUCUGGAUAGCGCUGCAGCGCGCCAUGUGCAAGGCUGGAAGCCAAAGUGAGCAAUGACUCUGCUGCAGUGCUUCCUAAAACAUUACAACACCUUGACAGGUUCUUCAAGCUCUACCAUAAAACUGUGUCCAUGAGGGUGCAGAGGAUCUGACAGCCAACAAGAUUGUGUCCCUCACCUGGGUUCUCAAUUAAUACCUACAAAACUAAGUCUGUACUGCCCUCUGUGUGGCUAAUGUAGCAUCAGUGAUCUGGGCACCAGUCCAAUCAUACAGUGCAUUCGGAAAGUAUGCAGACCCCUUGACUUUUUCCACAUCUUGUUACGUUAUAGCUUUAUUCUAAAAUAUAUAUUUUUUUAAAUG